GGCAUGGUAUCUGAGUGGGUAAAGCGCUUAUAGCUCGGUACCGAAUAUCGAUGGUUCGAAUCCAUCCCGGAGCAACA